ACACAAUCCUCUGGGGAUCUGGUUGGAAUCAGAUUCUGAUUCAGUAGAUCUUAGACAGGGCCUAAGAAUUUGCAUUUCUAAUUAGCUCCCAGAAGUACUGAU
rnacentral:pre_miRNA from 1 species